GAUGAACGCUGGCGGCGUGCCUAAUACAUGCAAGUCGAACGAUGAAGCCGGAGCUUGCUCUGGUGAAUUAGUGGCGAACGGGUGAGUAACACGUGAGUAACCUGCCCUUGACUCUGGGAUAACUGCUGGAAACUGUAGCUAAUACCGGAUACGACCCUCGGAGACAUCUCCUGGGGGUGGAAAGACUUUCGGUCAAGGAUGGACUCGCGGCCUAACAGCUAGUGGGUGAGGUAAAGGCUGACCAAGGCGACGACGGGUAGCCGGCCUGAGAGGGUGAACGGCCACACUGGGACUGGGACACGGCCCAGACUCCUACGAGAGGCAGCAGUGGGGAAUAUUGCACAAUGGGCGCAAGCCUGAUGCAGCAACGCCGCGUGAGGGAUGACGGCCUUCGGGUUGUAAACCUCUUUUAGCAGGGAAGAAGCGAAAGUGACGGUACCUGCAGAAAAAGCACCGGCUAACUACGUGCCAGCCGCCGCGGUAA
rnacentral:rRNA from 1 species